UACGGAGGGUGCAAACGUUGCUCGGAAUCAUUGGGCGUAAAGCGCACGUAGGCGGUCGGCUAUGUCGGAUGUGAAAGCCUCGGGCUUAACCCGAGAAGUGCAUCCGAAACUGGCCGGCUUGAGUACGGAAGAGGGUCUCGGAAUUCCCGGUGUAGAGGUGAAAUUCGUAGAUAUCGGGAGGAACACCAGUGGCGAAGGCGGAGACCUGGGCCGAUACUGACGCUGAGGAGCGAAAGCGUGGGGAGCGAACAGG
rnacentral:rRNA from 1 species